rnacentral:rRNA from 2 species
UGCCUAAUACAUGCAAGUCGAACGAACUCUGGUAUUGAUUGGUGCUUGCAUCAUGAUUUACAUUUGAGUGAGUGGCGAACUGGUGAGUAACACGUGGGAAACCUGCCCAGAAGCGGGGGAUAACACCUGGAAACAGAUGCUAAUACCGCAUAACAACUUGGACCGCAUGGUCCGAGUUUGAAAGAUGGCUUCGGCUAUCACUUUUGGAUGGUCCCGCGGCGUAUUAGCUAGAUGGUGGGGUAACGGCUCACCAUGGCAAUGAUACGUAGCCGACCUGAGAGGGUAAUCGGCCACAUUGGGACUGAGACACGGCCCAAACUCCUACGGGAGGCAGCAGUAGGGAAUCUUCCACAAUGGACGAAAGUCUGAUGGAGCAACGCCGCGUGAGUGAAGAAGGGUUUCGGCUCGUAAAACUCUGUUGUUAAAGAAGAACAUAUCUGAGAGUAACUGUUCAGGUAUUGACGGUAUUUAACCAGAAAGCCACGGCUAACUACGUGCCAGCAGCCGCGGUAAUACGUAGGUGGCAAGCGUUGUCCGGAUUUAUUGGGCGUAAAGCGAGCGCAGGCGGUUUUUUAAGUCUGAUGUGAAAGCCUUCGGCUCAACCGAAGAAGUGCAUCGGAAACUGGGAAACUUGAGUGCAGAAGAGGACAGUGGAACUCCAUGUGUAGCGGUGAAAUGCGUAGAUAUAUGGAAGAACACCAGUGGCGAAGGCGGCUGUCUGGUCUGUAACUGACGCUGAGGCUCGAAAGUAUGGGUAGCAAACAGGAUUAGAUACCCUGGUAGUCCAUACCGUAAACGAUGAAUGCUAAGUGUUGGAGGGUUUCCGCCCUUCAGUGCUGCAGCUAACGCAUUAAGCAUUCCGCCUGGGGAGUACGGCCGCAAGGCUGAAACUCAAAGGAAUUGACGGGGGCCCGCACAAGCGGUGGAGCAUGUGGUUUAAUUCGAAGCUACGCGAAGAACCUUACCAGGUCUUGACAUACUAUGCAAAUCUAAGAGAUUAGACGUUCCCUUCGGGGACAUGGAUACAGGUGGUGCAUGGUUGUCGUCAGCUCGUGUCGUGAGAUGUUGGGUUAAGUCCCGCAACGAGCGCAACCCUUAUUAUCAGUUGCCAGCAUUAAGUUGGGCACUCUGGUGAGACUGCCGGUGACAAACCGGAGGAAGGUGGGGAUGACGUCAAAUCAUCAUGCCCCUUAUGACCUGGGCUACACACGUGCUACAAUGGAUGGUACAACGAGUUGCGAACUCGCGAGAGUAAGCUAAUCUCUUAAAGCCAUUCUCAGUUCGGAUUGUAGGCUGCAACUCGCCUACAUGAAGUCGGAAUCGCUAGUAAUCGCGGAUCAGCAUGCCGCGGUGAAUACGUUCCCGGGCCUUGUACACACCGCCCGUCACACCAUGAGAGUUUGUAACACCCAAAGUCGGUGGGGUAACCUUUUAGGAACCAGCCGCCUAAGGUGGGACAGAUGAUUAGGGUGAAGUCGUAACAAGGUAGCCGUAGGAGAAC